rnacentral:rRNA from 1 species
UGAGCAACCUGCCCUUGACUCUGGAAUAACAGCUGGAAACAGCUGCUAAUACCGGAUACGACCUCCGAUGGUAUCAUCUGGAGGUGGAAAGCUCCGACGGUCAAGGAUGGGCUCGCGGCCUAUCAGCUUAUUGGUGAGGUAACGGCUCACCAAGGCUUCGACGGGUAGCCGGCCUGAGAGGGUGACGUCGCCAC